rnacentral:rRNA from 1 species
UACGAAGGGGGCUAGCGUUGCUCGGAAUUACUGGGCGUAAAGCGCACGUAGGCGGAUCUUUAAGUCAGGGGUGAAAUCCUGGAGCUCAACUCCAGAACUGCCUUUGAUACUGAGGACCUUGAGUUCGGGAGAGAUGAGUGGAACUGCGAGUGUAGAGGUGAAAUUCGUAGAUAUUCGCAAGAACACCAGUGGCGAAGGCGGCUCACUGGCCCGAUACUGACGCUGAGGUGCGAAAGCGUGGGGAGCAAACAGG